UGCCAGCCUAAUUCUGGCAGGCUGAAGCUAGGGAAGGAGUGAGUGGGGCGCUACAUGUGACUCUGGCCCUGUAGCAAGUUCAGAGAUGUCCAGGGGCCUGUGCUCUUCUCUGGCCUGUAGUUGCUUGGCAGCUCGUGGGUGCUCUUUGGCCCAUUCAGAGGCAGCUGCUGCCUAAGCCGCCAUCCCCCUCUGCAGUCUCUCUUCCCAGGUUCCCACAGUGGAUCAACAGGAACAGUGACCUUCCCACCCCCCGACCACACACCUUCUCAGCAUUCCUCAGUGCUUUGGACACUCACCAUGUUCCUCCCCUGUUCUCUGUGCUCCUGAUCAGCUUUCCCAAACCAUGGGGCCCCAGCCUUGGAUUGAGCCUUCCUGGGGUAUCCUGUGUGUGGAGUUGGCCCCCAUGGGGUUUGAUUCAGAGAGGUCUUUACCCUGUUCCUAAGGUGGCCCUGAUGGUUUCUUUCAUGAUGGGCAAGACCUGCAGACCAAGGAGGAAAGGAUGUUCAUGCUUCCGCCCAGGAAUGGGGGCAGUGGCUGUCUAGGCAGCAUGAGAUCCUGUAGCUCACUGAGCUGGUGGAAGUCAGCAUCAGCCAUCAGUCAAGGUGGUAGAGCAGAGGGGUGGCCAGAGUCCAGAGAGAAACAGGCAGAAGGCAGAGGAGAAAGGAGACUUGUCCUCUCCCAUAGUGGCUGUUGCUUAGGGUUCCUUUUUUCUGGAAUUUAUCUCAGUUUUAACAUGAUUUACACAUACUGAGUUACCUCUUUUUAGGGCUGCCUCUGCAGCAUACGGAAGUUCCCAGGCUAGGGAUGAUAACCGCCGGCCUACGCCACAGCAACACCGGAUCCAAGCCGCAUCUGCUGCCUACACCACAGCUCACAGUAACGCCGGAUCCUUAACCCGCUGAGCGGAGCCAGGAAUUGAACCCGUAUCCUCAUGGAUACUAGCCGGGUGCAUAAACCGAUGAACCACAAUGGGAACUCCCUGGACAUCAAUUUAAACGCAACGCUUGUCACCCUCCUCUGAGUGCCUCUGCGUCUUAGUAUCUCCUGUUUCCCACCUCCCAGCCUUCCCACGGGCUCUGCUUUCUGCGCAGAUUCCCUUCCCGAUGAUUCACCGCACCUGCUUGCGCAGCCCUGCCUUCACCACCGCCGCCAAAGUAGCGCCCUUUUCUGGCCGCUUGUUCUUUACUCUUCAGGACUUAGCAGAGCUUGUGAUAACUCCCCCUUUCAGACCACCGUCUCGUCCCAUCAUCCCUGUCCACCAUCGCCCCACCAUUUCCCCCUUAAUCCCCCACACCAUCCCCCUCACCCCACUCCUGGACCAGCACAGUCCACUCCUGUCUCCCCAUGGCCUGUUCUCCCCCAAGCCUCCCAGGGAGCGCAUCCCUGCUCUGCCCUCAGGGUGACAGCUGAACCCCCCAGCGCCCUCCGUGCCUGCAAGGCCUGACUCACCCAUCACCUCGUCUUUACUCCCUCCCUUUGUGCUGGCUCUUCCUCUACCGGGAUGCUCUUCUCUCCAGGUAUCUGUUAAAGUGUCUUUCCUGGAAGUCCCUCUCAUCCCCUACCCCGCUGCUGUUUCCUCCACAGGGCCCACCUCUAGCCAACUUGUCCUCUUGUUGACUGUCGGUCCCUCUCCCUCUCUGCCCAGUGUCAGCUUCGCAGGGCAGGGGUUUUGACUGGUUUGUUCACUGCACAGGGCCCUGGCACACAGUAGGUGUUUAAUAAAUGUUUGGUAAAUG
ensembl:lncRNA